GCGAAUGUGCAUCUUGCGAGAACACUGAGUCAGGUCAGGUAGAUUUGGCUUCUGUGGACGUGAUUGUGUGCGUCAGUGGCAAGGAAGAAUGUGCGAGUCUCGAGAGAAGAGAGAACCUCGCACAAAAUGCAUCCAAUGAUAUUACGGAGCUCGGGAACCGUGUGGUUCAGUGCUUUGUUUGUAAAGAUGCUGAUCCAUACUUGGCGACUGUUGAUUCCAUGAAAUGUCUGUCAUCGAAGUUCAAAUCAGUAACCAGGUCUCUUGCUGGAAGUAAAAUUUGUAAAGUCCAGCAGCCUUACGCCACGCGAGUGAUAAGAACUACAUGGUUUAUUUCGCGGCAUAUUGCGACAAAUUUAGUGCAUUUAGAAUGCAUAGUAUUUUGGCGCCACCUUUCUUCGUGGAGGCCUGAUGUAGGUAACAUAUGGAGAUGUGUUCCUUACCUGAUGCUUUUUGUGGACGUGGUAUUGGAGUCUGAUAGUUUUAUAGAAAUUCUACCCACUGCACAUGUGACAUACCGUUCCGGAGAUAUCAGUGCAAAGCGUCUUUCGUGGGAAAGAGAUUCGCUCUCCGGAUUUGACUCGAAGAAGUGUGCGGACCUCGGCCUUUCAUGCCCCUCUCCUAAUUUAGCAACUGCGAAGUUUGUACUGCAUGGAGCUCGCACGUCCUUGGAUGUUUCGAACUGGGAGCUGCUGUUGCAACAAGUCAGCCACUU
rnacentral:lncRNA from 1 species